rnacentral:rRNA from 1 species
AGACGGAGGGGGCAAGCGUUGUUCGGAAUUACUGGGCGUAAAGCGCGCGUAGGCGGUUUGUCAAGUUGGAGGUGAAAUCCCGGGGCUCAACCCCGGAACUGCCUUCAAAACUGGCCGACUGGAGUCCGGGAGAGGAGAGUGGAAUUCCCAGUGUAGAGGUGAAAUUCGUAGAUAUUGGGAAGAACACCAGUGGCGAAGGCGGCUCUCUGGUCCGGAACUGACGCUGAGGCGCGAAAGCGUGGGGAGCAAACAGGAUUAGAAACCCCAGUAGUCC